rnacentral:lncRNA from 10 species
GCUUGCUGUAGAGGCAGGCGCCGGGUGUGUCGCGGCAGUGCAGCGGCCGCGAAGGGGUGUUUUGCUGUAUGUCAUAUUCCUCGUUUCGCCAGAGCGGGGGUCCCGAGCUUCGGGCGCGGGACGCGGGGGUGCUCCGAGGCUGCGAGUGGAGGCGUGACGUGACGUCCCUGGCAAGAGGCGCGCGGAGUCAGGCCUUACUUAGAACGUGUUCCCGCCGCACAGCUACCAGCGGGCGCGACCGCUACCCACGCAUGGUGCGGUCGAGUAAACGGCACCGCCUGGCGAGCGAGAGACGCAAAGGGACAUAGCCCCCUAGGAGCUGAGCUCUUCGGGGGUAAAGCGUUCUCACGUUGAUGAGACCAGGAGGCGGCGCACGCCUGGCUCCGCGGCCCAGGGGUUGCAGGUGCCCCAGGGUUCGCGGGGCGCAGACGCCGCAGAGGGCGACGCCCUGCCCGGGUCCCGCGCGGACCCGGGGGACGCAGGGUCUGACACGGAGUGCGGAGGGGCCCCAGACACGCAGUCCAUGUCCCUUGAAACCAGAGGCACGCGCGGCCACGCGCUAGGCCUUUCCCUUAAGCCUGUGACCAAGAUCUCCGGGACUCCCAGCGUUGGGACGGGCGCGCUGGCCCACGCCCAAGCGGGAGGAUCGCUUGCGCCCAGGAGAUUGAGACCAGCCUGAGCACCAAAGCGAGACCUCGUCUCUACAAAAAAUAAGACUCAAGAAGACACCCAGGGUGAAUCGCCCGUCUGCAGCCAGCCUCCCGAGCACCGUGGCCGCGUCUGACAACUGACCUCUGUGUCUGGGUGUCCCUGUCCUCAGAGGGACACGGGACCUCAGAAAGGACCACAGCCCGGCGGCAGGCAUGAUGGUGGGAAAGCUAGUUAGGACAGGUGAGGCACUAAAUUUAGCCUGUCAUAAUUUGUAUCAGGGAAAUGAUGAACUUGUAUUUUUACACACCAUGGGCACCAACACAAGAUAUGGUUUCGUAAGCAGCUUUGGCAAGAACCAAAGGAACGGAACCUCUGCUUCCAAGUGUACGGUCAGGAGCAGCGUGUUAAUUAAGUGAAUAAACAAACUGGCACAUCCACACUGCGGAACACGGCUCAACCCCCAGGAGGACCCGGCGCGGAGCCCGGCUCAACCCUGAAGAGGAUUUCACUACUGACACACACGACAUCACAGGUGACUCUGGGAGCAAUCAGGUUCAGUGAGAGAAGCCGGACAAAAAAGAGUGCGUACCUUAUGACUCCACUUACAUAAAAUCCUAGAAAAUACAAACACCAGGCAGGCGCGGUGGCUCACCGCUGUAAUCCCCGCACUUCGGGAGGCCGAGGCAGGCACAUCACUUGAAGUCAGGAAUAUGAGACCCGCCUGGCCAACAUGGCAAAACCCCAUCUCUACUAAAAAUACAAAAAUUACCCUGGCGUGGUGGCACACGCCUGUAGUCCCAGCUACUCGGGAGGCUGAGGCAACCUGGGAGGCAGAGAUUUCAGUGAGCUGAGAUCACACCACGGCACUCCAGCCUGGGUGACAGAGACUCCAUCUCAAAAAAUAAAAAUAAAAAACAUAAAUAGCAACAGAGAGCAAAUCAGCAGUCGCUUGGGAAAUAAGGGGUAGGGAUGGGUGAGAGGGAGGGAUUACCAGGUACACGUGCAGCCUGGAUAGUGCUGAGGGCUUCACGACGUAGACGCAUCAGCCUCAUCAAAUUACACACUCUACCUAUGUGCGGUUUGCCUUGUGUCAACUGUGUAUCCAUAAAGCUAUCAACAAAAACUGCCUGCAAACUAUUUUUAACUGACAACUUUUUUUUUUUUUUGGGAUGGAGUCUCGCUCUGUUGCCCAGGCUGGAGUGCACUGGCGCGAUCUUGGCUCACUGCAACCUACGCCUCCUGGGUUCAAGCGAUCCUCCUGCCUCAGCCUCCUGAGUAGCUGGGACUACAGGUGUCCACCACCACGCCCGACUAAUUUUUGUAUUGUUAGUAGAGAUGGAGUUUCACCAUGUUGGUCAGGCUGGUCGCGAACUCCUGACCUCAAGUGAUCCACCGCCUUGGCCUCCAAAAGUGCUGGAAUUAUAGGUAUGAGCCACUGCACCUGGCCAGACAACUGU